CCUUAAAGCUGGAAGCAAGGAUGCUGAACGCUGGAGAGACUGUGCUGUAGUGAACGGGCAGCCAAAAGUUAAACUAUAAAAGUAUCUUUGCUUUGGGGACCACUGACAAAUUGAUGAUAGGGACUUGUGGAAUUGAGGAGGAGACCCGGAGAAGAGGUGACUACAUCAAGACCCACCCACUUCUUCAGUCCAGUUCCAUGGCUGGCCAGCCUAUCUAAAGAGUUCUGAAGACCAACCGAAGACCAAGAAGACAGAGCAAAGGUGGAAGGAAAGCUGCUUCAUUACACAGGACACCUCAUUCCUUCUCAGGGCAAGUGGGGUCUCAGCCCUAAUGAAAACUGCCCUGCCAGGGGAGGGGUGCCAUAUACUUUCCUUUCUCUUACAUUGUCUCAUGGCUUGUAAUCCAGAUCUUUUUACUCAUACUAAAUUUAUCUGCUCUGCAAA